ACAAUGCAAACUUACAUGACUGGUUUUAUAGAGAUGAGAGAUUAAUUU
rnacentral:guide_RNA from 1 species